GCUUCCUGUCGCGGCAGACAGAAAAUCCGAGAGCAAUCAAUCGAUAGUUAUGUUUUGUUUUCAGCAUCCAUAGUUCGCUUCUGCACACUUUUCCCAAUGUUUUCGAUAGGGUUUUCAUGUCUCGUGCACUUGUCGCACAAUAAAAAGCGGAAGAACAAAAGCGAAAACCUUUUUCGAAUCGUUAGGCAGUAAAAAAGUUGAUAGAAAUAAAAUUAAGCCUGGCUCGAUGUUUAUUUUUUUUUGCGCAGAUGAAGAGACGGGGGGCAGGGCAGACAGGGGGGCCUUUUAGUUGGUGCGUCAAUAAAGUUGAGCGAAAAUAUUUGCACAGCGUUCAACCGACGAACAAACGAGGCGCUUUCCUUUUGUUCUUCGCUGUUUUAUGGCCCAUAAACAAAGGCCCAAUUUGAAUGUUUGGCGAUUGAAGCCCAGAGAGCUGGAAGAAACUGGCCAACAGCUGGUCUGGAGACCCCAUUAAAGAUGGCCAUAUACGCAGAACCAGUUGCUCGCCACUUUUUCACGACAGAGACGAAACGUUCUAACGGCACGAAAAGGCUAAAAUUAUGGUCACAAAUCAUGAGGUAAGACGAUUCAUAAUACCCAUAACUGUACGGUAUUACGUACAAAAUAUGAUUUUUGGGGGCUUAAAUGCAAAAUGAGGACAUUACUUUAAUUUUAACGUCACAUUUACACAUUUAAAAUCAGAAGAAAAAGGGCAUGAUAUCAUGUUUAAAUGUAAUUUAAUGCCUUUCCUAUAUUCAUGUGGUCUUUUCCGGUUUCUGGCAAGGUGUUUCCAUCCGCUUUUGGCCAAAAAAUUAAAACACAUAAACAGAGAGACUGCUGAGACUGCCGAGCUGAAGAUCUCCAAUUUCGUCUGAGCCUCUCUUGUUUACGCUAAAAUCGGCCCAAAAACAAAGGAGGGGCAAGUGCAGGAGGCGAGUUGGUAAACCAGUUUUCCACCGCACUCGACCAGAACGGACGCCGUCGGAAAAGGAAACGGAGAAGGAGGAGUGAGUGGCAGGGCCAUCAACAGGUAAUUCGGAGAUUUUAACUUGGCUAAGAUGGCUUAAAAGUCAUCAAGGAUAAUCCUUCAAUCCCGAAAUUGGUAUUGCUACCACCUUUUAUUAUUCUUGCAAAUCUUUUUUAUUGAGAAAUGUGAAACAGAAUCUACAUGGUAAAGAACGAUUGUGAAAAACACCCUGAAUGAACUAGGCCAUCCUGCACAAUAUCCUUGCGACGAUCAAAUAUUUAUGGUAUAAUGGGAUAAUAUGUUAAUGUUACACUGCACAAAGUCACCCUAAAGAGAGUAUCCCAAGCUUCAGUGGCCGUUGGAAAGCAGCCUUUGUGCUGGUCUCAUUGUUUUGGCUCUGGUUUUGGCAAAGGGCAGGGAGCCGAGGAAGUGGUUUUUCCUGCCGUACCUGUACGAGUUUCCCUGUCUCGGCCUCUCUGUGCCCAUCUCUUUCGCAGGACAAAGAAAAUGCAUGAGGAGAAUGCAGAGUGUGUGGAACUUGUUCCUGAUCCCAGAGGGGUUGCAAGGAGCAGUAAAUGGGAAUCUGAGCGUUUCCAGGAAUAACAAAACGAUAAUCGAUGGUAUUGCAGCGAGGAAUGCACGUAAUUAAAGGGAAGUGUAUAGAUUGUUCUGGGGCAGAUUAAUUAUGCCGAGAUUCUCCGUUCUCGGCCGCUACUCCAUCCCGUCCCUAUCCCUCUCUCUGCCUACUUAUCUCCUUCGCCUCCUUUGUUCCUCGGUCACGUCCAUGUAAUUGCCAAUAAUCACAAUAUGCGCUUCGGUAGGAAAAUUCAAUUUACAUGCCGCCAGUGGAGCGAAAAAACGAGAGAGGCGCAGAAUUGAAUUACAGGAUGACCCCGGUGAGAACGCUUAUGAAAUAUGCCAAAGGUGACUUUCAAUUAAAUGCCACCCAGCCAGAGGCGUGCGAAGGAUUUAAAAAGGGGCUGAUAAAUAACGUACUAACCGAUUAAAAUAAGUUUGCUGAUCAAUGAGUUAAGAUACCAUUUUUAAGAUUACAAUCAUAGAAUAACAAAGUA
rnacentral:sRNA from 1 species